rnacentral:lncRNA from 1 species
UGUCCCUAGGGCUGCAGCCCCGCUCGGUCCAGUGCUCGGGGAAACGAAGCAGUUCCAUAAAAACUUUUGAUAUUCGUUUUUAUGGGUAUUUAUAUUCUGAUGAGGGUAGCUGAGCACGGAAGUUCCAUGCCCCCAAUCUUGGGUUCGGGUACUGUUUAU